GCAUAUCAAUAAGCGGAGGAAAAGAAAACAACUGUGAUAUCCUCAGUAGUGGCGAACGAAAAGGAUCUAGCACUCCGAGUAAUUGUACAUUGUGCAACUUGUCCCGUACCAAACUCAUUGGGUUUUCUGUUAUGUUGUGUCUUUGGAAAAAGUCAUGUAUUGUGGUGAUAAACCAUUCCAUUUCAGCUUUCUCUAUGUUUGCGGUUUCUGAGUAGGGUUCUUUCAAAUUGGAAUCUGAAACGGAGGUAACUUCCUUCGAAUGCUAAAUAUCUGUUAAGCCCGAUAGCGUAUAAGUACCGUGAGGGAAAGGUGAAAAGACAGCUCGAAAGCUAGUUAAUAGACCUGAAACCAUAUCAGUAGAAGGCUACUUUAAAGUUGACUUCAUUGGUUCAUUUAUGCACCUUUGGAUUAGACAUUUUUCUAUUGCUUUUGCUUUAGUUUUUUGUGUUUACUUUAUGUAGCGCCCGUCUUGAAACACGGACC
rnacentral:rRNA from 1 species